rnacentral:rRNA from 1 species
GACGAACGCUGGCGGCGUGCUUAACACAUGCAAGUCGAACGGAAAGGCCCUGCUUUUGUGGGGUGCUCGAGUGGCGAACGGGUGAGUAACACGUGAGUAACCUGCCCUUGACUUUGGGAUAACUUCAGGAAACUGGGGCUAAUACCGGAUAGGAGCUCCUGCUGCAUGGUGGGGGUUGGAAAGUUUCGGCGGUGGGGGAUGGACUCGCGGCUUAUCAGCUUGUUGGUGGGGUAGUGGCUUACCAAGGCUUUGACGGGUAGCCGGCCUGAGAGGGUGACCGGCCACAUUGGGACUGAGAUACGGCCCAGACUCCUACGGGAGGCAGCAGUCGGGAAUAUUGCACAAUGGGCGGAAGCCUGAUGCGGCAACGCCGCGUGCGGGAUGACGGCCUUCGGGUUGUAAACCGCUUUCGCCUGUGACGAAGCGUGCGUGACGGUAAUGGGUAAAGAAGCACCGGCUAACUACGUG